GCCUACGGCCACACCUCCCUGAACGCGCCCAGUCUCGUCUCAUCUCGGAAGCUAAGCAGGGUCGGGCCUGGUUACACUUGGAUGGGAGGAAGGAAAUGUCAGUGGAGGCC
ensembl:rRNA 5S_rRNA 5S ribosomal RNA